AGAGGAGCAAUAUCCACUCCCUUAUCCACGAGUUGGGAAUCAUCGAAACGACUCUGUUUCCCUCCCCUUGGGAUGGCCUGAAUAGUGACGACGACGGAAGCGCAGAGCGGAAGCAGAAUCCGGUAAAUUAGACCCGUCCAGUCGUCGGACAUCCACAAAUUCUUUUCACCCAACCACCGUGACUCUCCCCACACUUUGGUAAGAAGAUGGCCGCUUCCUCCGCUGACGACGAGCAAGCCGUCGGCGUCGACGAGGUGUCACGUUGUCGCGCCCACUUUCCGAAACUGGAUGACUUUUGCUUCCAACGAAGCUAUGAAUAUACAGGAUACAGCGACAGAGUUUACUACUGGCUUUAAAACGUGCAGGCAAAGGGAAUGCAUGGUUAAGAGGAGCCAAAUGUCUCUGUCUCGGGAUUUUCAAACUAUCCGUUCAGAAAUGUUUCUUCGGCCAGAAAAACAUGUGCCCAACGGUUCGUAACUCAAUAAUCCCCUCCACCCUCUCCAGGAGGUAAAAAAUGACAUUUUAUGCAUUAGAAUUUUUAUCUCAUGACUCGAUUGACGGAUCCUUAUAAAAAAAA
rnacentral:lncRNA from 1 species